rnacentral:rRNA from 1 species
UGGGUGACCUGCCCUCAGCUCUGGGAUAAGCCCGAGAAAUUGGGUCUAAUACCGGAUAUGACCUUUCCUCGCAUGGAGUUUGGUGGAAAGUUUUUUCGGCUGGGGAUGGCCCGCGGCCUAUCAGCUUGUUGGUGGGGUGAUGGCCUACCAAGGCGACGACGGGUAGCCGGCCUGAGAGGGCGACCGGCCACACUGGGACUGAGACACGGCCCAGACUCCGUACGGGAG